UCUGUCUAUCAAGCCUUCAUUCGAUUCUGGUGUGUUAGAGGUGGGAUGUGUCUGAAAGUGGUGUAACUGAGAGUCUUGAGGACUGAAGUUGCAGACCUCUGCUAUAAGUACUUAUCUGUAGAGGUUUUUGUAGUUUUCUGCGAAUACUGUUUUAACCUCACUGUGAUGACUGUCAUUUCAGACUACAAGCUAAGGCAGCUGCUUAGACGAGCCAGUGAUUGCUGAUUGUUUGGAUGAGGUCUGAGGAUUCAGGAUUAACAAAGUCCUGUGGUCCCCUGAGCCAGGCUCCUUCUGGUGAAGAGACACACUCUUUACAUCAGAAAAGAUGUCAGAUGACUGGGCUUUGUCUCCUCCAUCUAAGACCCUGCAAUAGUGUUUCAUCUGUGGUCGCUGGAGGGACAGGUGACUAUAACAAAUUGCUAUUGGGCUAGAAGAGGGAUACACCCUGGACAAGUCAUCAUUCCAUCACAGAGGUAGUACAUACCUGAGCAAGUUUAGAGUAACCUGGAGAACCUUGUGAGAACCAUACAUGCACAAGGCAAGCAUGCAAACUCCAUUCAGAAAGAAAGAAGUCAAAAUGUUGACUAAAGCUCCAUUGUGCAGCCCUUAACAGAAUUUUAUUGUUUAUAUAUAAUAAUAAAGCCAUGUAAAACUAAAGUCAUAAUGAAUUGAUUUUUAUUGUAACUUUUAUAUCCAUUUGUAGCAUGAUCUUUUGAGGCCAAAUACGUAACAAAUGCUAAGAAAAAGAAGCACAGACUAACAGUGAUUAUCUUAAAGAAAAUAUUACUGGUCUAUUCAAUCCGGUUUAUGCAGGAGUAAUCAACCAGUGUGUCAGAAGCAUAAAGGUCAAACUGAAAAAAAGGCAUAUAUUGUAAACCAUUAGCAAACAAACUGACAAAUAUUCAGACCGAACAGUCUUGAAGACGUAAAAUAUCCGAUUCAGUAAUAUGUUGUUGCAGCAUAAUGAAUUGUGGUUUUUAUUUUCAGCAUGGGAAGUCUGACUGCUGCAAUACUUGUUUAUUUCCGCAUGAGCUUGGAAUUUGUCACAACAUUUCCCAUUCUUAAUCUCACAGAUCCCAGUGACUACACUUAAGUCUUCAUCUCCACUACACAUACUGUGCUGUCUUGUUGUUUGUAUAGCAGUCACGGCCCUUCAAGCCUCAGUGUUUUGCAUUCAGGCUAGAGGGUCCAGUUAAGCCUGGGAAUUUGAAUAAAUCAUAAGAAAAUACAAUGAAUUGUGAAUCUCUCUGUGACUUAUAACAUUCUAUUGCUAUAUAAACAGGCUGGAUUUUGUAAAUUUUAUUGUUAGAAUGCUAGACUUUCUCCACACUCUGUGUUAUUGUAUGUAUAAUUCUUUAUAUUUCUAUAUAUGAAAGUAUUCAUGUGUGGAUGAUUUUGAUUUAAAUCUCUCACUGGGAAUACAUUUACAAAGCGAUAGUGCCAAAAGUGUCUUGACUGGAAGGACUUCCUUUUAUCACUAUAACUUUGAACGAUGUGUCAUUUUGCAUUCUAGUAAAUUAUAUACUUCUAGAUCUGCUUAAUCAUUAUUUGACUCAUUCCAGUUUCUUUCCAUGCUUAUGUUAUUCAGACAUUUUAUCUUGAUUUUAUUUGACAUUUCAGUCAUGUCCCUAUGCUCUCAGCACCUCUCAUGCUUCUUUUGUUCCUCUAUAACCAAGAUUCUUGAUUUAGUGUAUGUACAUUUGUAAAAUCUCUUUUCAUUAAACUGCACUACUUACUUUU